AACAAACAACUACAUGGUCUAAUGCAUCUUCCUGAUCUUCAAGGCAAUACAAAUACAAACAAUUCAAAUUCUUCCAAUCUUUUCAACCUUAUGGUUCAUGAUCAAUUCAACAACAUGAGUAGUACCCAAGGAACAACACUUUACAUUAACAACAAUAGCUCUUUAAGUGAUCAUCAAGUUGGUUUUGUCAAUUCAAUGCAACAUGGUCAAAACAUGUCUAGUCCUCACAUGUCUGCCACUGCAUUGCUUCAAAAAGCUUCUCAGAUUGGUUCAACUAAUUCUACCAACAAUAACAAAGGUAGUAAUAAUGAUCAUAAAUCAGGUGAUAGGGACUUUGUUGUGUCUGAUCACAACAACAUCAAUGCCACUUUUGGAAAUAGAAGUUCAAGUAUUGAAAAUGAUCAUGACAACAACGAUCUUCAUGGAUUGAUAAACUCUAUUGCAAAUGGAAACACAUCAUCCAUAUUUGGCAAUGAAAGCAAUCUUAAUAUGAGAUUUGGUGGAUCUGAUAAGUUAACUUUAGAUUUUCUUGGUGUUGGAGGAAUGGUCAGAAAUAUGAGUGGUGGAUUUUCACAAAGUGAACAACAACGUGACAUGAUGAAUACUAGUAUGGUUUCUUUGAAUCAUGACCUAAAAUCAGCACAUUCAAGUCAACAUUUUGGAAGCUCAAAUAUCUUGCAAUGAAGAUUGGGGUGAGAAAUUUAUUAAUUUAAGGAAAUAUUGCUUGUUAGUUACAUGUGAAUUAUUCAUUAAUUAAGUAGUAAACUUUGUUUCAAACAUUUAUUUAUUUUAUUUUUGUUUUCCUCAAAAGAAGUGCAGUUCAUUGGUAAAAUGAGGUUCCAAUUCUAGAAAUUACUACAAAUUACAAUCCCUUAUUUUAUUUUAACACGUCCCUUUCCUUAUUCUUUGCUCUCUAUGAUGUGAUAGAGAGAUGUAAUAAAUUCACUUUUGAAUUUCAUGUGUGAGCGAACAUGAGAUAAUAAAGUUUAUAGAAAAAAAAAAUUGAUUCAUUAUAGAUUUUCCUCUAAGAAAAUUAUUUCUCAAUCACAGAGGGUAAAAUUCCAUGCUCGAACCAAGAAAAAAUAUUCAACCUAACAAUUUCAGCAUUGUUAGUUGUGCUAGGUUUUACGGACCAGGACAUCAUCGUUGUCUACCAAUUUUUUUUUACAGAUUUGAGGCGAUUUAAUUUGGUUGAUAAACACGAGUAAAUUACUCAAAUGCCCCUUGGCAGUUAACUGCCGAAAUUUUAAAAAAUCGGCUGCAGUUAACUGUCGAGAAAUUUCAAACCUGAAAUUAAAUAAGGAAAUACACCUAUGUUUUCCUUAAUUAAAUUUAAAUCUUUAAUCCUUUUAAGGAAUUAAACAUAAUUAUUUUUAUGAUUUCAUUCAUAUGAUUUUGUUGCUAUAAAUGAAGAAAUAUGAGAGAUGAAUAAUAUCUGUAAUCGGUAGUUAAUAGACCUAAAAUGAUGAUUCAAUAAAAAAAAUGCAACAACAAAAACGUUACAAAUGAUAGAAUAAUUAUAUUUGUAAUUAUUAGUAAUUAAUUUCAUUGAUGUUGUUAUUAUUCAUAAGUUUGACUAACCUAUUAUUACUUUAUACUAAUAUUUUAGAUAUUAUUACUUUAAUUAACAUGAAAAACGCAACAACAAAAAAUAAGGGGGAUUUAUUGGAUUAAGAUUCUAUGGGAUUUUAAAAGAUUUUUUAAUUAUGAAAAAGUCUUGUGGUAUUCAAUCAAAACUUUUUGCAGCCGGUUCUUUAAAAUUUCAACAGUUAACUGUCGAAGGAUAUUUGAGUAAAUUACUCGUAUUUCUCAGUCAAACCAAAAGUGUGAACAGCAAUACUCAAUUUCAAAAACAUGUAUAUGCCACGGUAAAUAAAGCCAGUUGUUGACUUGUUGAUAGUUGUGUUGUUAUUACUUGUGUACAAAUGCUUACCAAACGAGGGUGGGAUGUUGGCACUCUGUUAUGUUAAGAAUCUUCACGUUUUGGCUAUAUUCCAAUGGAAGCGACAGAGCCUCAUUUCCGUUCAAUUUCAUCUUUGUUUUUUUAUAUACGACGUACAAAUACUAACUAACUAAAGGUACAUUAACUUUAAAAUAAAGCAAGAAAUUUUGUAGUAUUGCUUACCUAAUAUAUAUAUACCUUACUUUUAAAAAUACAUAUUAAAAUAUAUGUAAUAAAAAAUUAUAUUAAAUGCUAUAUAAAUGUUAAAUGUUAGAGUCUCACAUUGAAUAUGAGAAUAGUAUAACAAUAUGUUUACAAGUUAUUUAUAAUAGGUUCUUAAUAAUAAUACUAAAUAAAUAUCAAAACUUAUUUAUAUAGAAGUUAUUUUAGUAUUAUUAAGAGCCUAUACUUUUUUUUUGAGCAAAAGAGCCUAUACUUAAUUGAUAAGAAAUUGUUACCAAUAUACCAACUCCAUUAAGUACCAUAAAUUUGAGAAAGAGACCUUGCAUAUUUUUCAGGUGAUUUUGUUGACAUCUUUUUCUCUUAACACUAGGAAGGACCCUUUAGUUUUUCAUUGUAAUAUAAAUAUUCUUGUACAAGUUGACUACCUUUGAAUUUGCAUGUCGUCGUUGAUGGCUAUAUAUAGGGUUAGAUCUAACGUCAUUGUUCAUUUGGUGGAAGAUUUUUAUGAGGAGUGUGUGGUACAUAACAUAUGCAACAUAAAUAACAUAUUAGCAGUAGUCUCUGCAAUGUUCGUUAUUGUAAUUACUGGUAAAAUAGCUGCGACACUUUUGUCGCAUGUAAAUUCCUUCUUCACAUGGAAAUCACCCGUCCGUGAGUGAGUGAAUGAAUGAGUGACUAUUAACCAACCAACCCAGUCAUUUCAUUUCGCCUUCACUCUCUACCCGUUACAGUUUUUCUAACUUUCUUUCUUUAGAUUGAGUAACUUCAAUAAUGCAAUGCAACUAAAGAUUAUUACUUACAACUUCUAUGCUCAAAUAAUUGUUGCAAUGCAAUUAAACACUCACUCAUGCGUGUCCCCGUGAGCCUAAUCCAGUUUGUAGAGACAUUGCAUUAUAUAUAUAGAGGUUGGGGUUCAAACUCAAACACUCUACUUAUUCACCUUAAAAAAAAUGAAUUUAAGUCAAUUGGCUACCUGACUAAAAAAAAACGCACUCAUAUGUUUUAUUUCAUAAGCUGGUUUUAGACCUUUUUAUCUGAAAAACUUAUCUCACAUUGUAGUUGAUAUGUAUGGUUAGACCUUUUGUGAGGUUUGUGUGUCCCCUAGUCUAUCACUCUCUCACAGUUAAACUACUUUGUUUUUGAGAGGUUUGUAUACCUUACUUAAAAACAACUAUCAUUCUCUCAUCAAUUUCAUCAUUAAGCUAUUAAAAUUAACUAAAAAGUACCUAAACUAUUCUCACAUAUAACUAUUAGCCCCUUGGUUGACAAAGUUAAUUUUUUUUAUGAUGGUUUAUGGACUAAAUUGAUAUAUUUUUUAUAGUUUAAAGAUCUUCUAGUUGAUUUUAAUAACUCGAAGGCUAUAUAUGUGAAAAAAUUGAUAGUUUAAGGAACAAGUUGAUUGUUUAUUCUUAAUUUGAUUGAAGUCUACUGGCACACAAAUUUACAAGGAUACGGUGGAUAUGGGGAAGUUAUACCUGAUAUCCCUACAUUUAAUCUUUUACCCCCUACAAAUUGUUGAAAAUGCCAAAUUUACCUUUUAUCAUUUCACUUCACCCUGCAUAAAAUUUUAGCCAACAAUACACUUCCGAGAUUUAAUACUCCAAUUUUCGGAAUAUUCAUAUCAAAUUUUUAUGGUAGAUUAAUUUGUAAACCGGAACAAUUGAGUAAAGAAUUAUUAUCAGAAUUCUUUCUUCUUUCAUCGAGGUUUGAGAGACAAUGAAAGAUGGAAAAUAGAAUACAACAACCUGUAUUAGUUAAUAUAAAAUUAAGUGCAAAGCAAAGAUCAUGAUACCAAACCUCAUCAAUUCUUCUUCCAAUUCAUUUUAUUUAGAUCUAAAAAAAUGAAAGGCCGUAUAUUUCUGGAGUAGAAUUUUAGAUGUAAGGUUGGGAAAUCAAAAAACCUGGCUAAAACUGCAGAAACCUGUUUUCUGAAUUCUUUCUAAAAAAACAGUGUAAAAAAAUGCUUGUCUCUUUAUCUGUAGAUCUAAAAAAAAAUCAUUUCUAAUUCAUCUUGUUUGGAAAUAUGAAUACGAAAAGUUGUAUAUUUUAAUUUUUUUUAUUUUUACAAAAUACCGUUGUUGGGAAUGUGAAUAAUCUAAGAUUAAAUGUAGGGGUGGUAAAAGAUUAAAUGUAGGGGUAUAUGGUAUAAUAUCCUGGAUAUGGUAGGCUUAUAUUACUUAGAACCCAAAUCAUGUUACUUAGGCCCGUCAUCAUGGACUUUUUUCAUGUGGUUUCCAUGCAGGCUAGUUGAAUAUUGCUCUUUAGGCAUCCAUGUUUUGCUCUCAGACAUUUUGAAAUUAUUAUUUUACCUCAAUGAAAAUUAAUUACCAUUUGUUGAUGAACGAUGGUUAGUUUUCAUUCUCUUAUGAACAGUAGUUAAUUGUCGUUCUAGGGCAUUUUAUGUGGUUCAGAUUGCGCAGACAGUUUUUGUGGUCCACGAUACAUAAAAACUUCUAUAAAUUGGUGUGUUUGGUUCAUUUGAAACCACACCACAAAAUCAUGAAUAUUUAUCUAGUAGAUCCGAACACCAAAUUAGCGCAGUUAACUACAACGGGGAAAACUCAAUAUGUUUAGGGUUCAGGUUAAUGCUAUAUCGGUUGACUUGAAGGAACAUAGUUGGACCAAAUUAACAGUCGACUCAACCACAAAGACACAAGAAAGGUGGAAAGUGUUGAGUAUCGUCAUCCAUUCGUUUGACUCAUAUGAAAGCGUCAAGUUCACCCAUAUGAAGUUCAAGAACAACGACAUCGUGAGAACCAUCAAGUUAGACGCUUCAUUGGUCAAAUAUUUUUUAGAUGUUCCGGAAAGUUUGAUUCAGAUUAGGACCUUCAAAGAAAACAGGACUUGCAUGGAUAGACCAAAAGAAAUAAGUAUGUCUUAUUCGUGAUUUUGUAUGUGUUUUAUUAUGUUGUUAAAUUAUGUUAGUGUAUUGUGUUUUAUUAUGUUUAAUGUAUGUUUUUGUUAACUUAUGUCAUUGAAAUUAUGUUAAUGUAUUGUAUUUUAUUAUGUUUAAUGUAUGUUCUUCUGAGCUUUCCUUUGUAACUAAUGAUUAACUACAGUUUCUUCUGAAAACAACAAUUAACUAUUGUUCCUAGAAUGGGAGUUAACUCUUGUUUAACAACGAAAAAUAAUUAAUUAUUAUUUCGGAUAAAAUAGUCAAUUUGAGACGUGUUAAAACAAAGUAUGAGUGUCUAACGAACAAUUUUCAAGAUAGUUUAGUCCUUUUUGGGUUCUACCUUUUUUUUUUAUGAGUAACUUCUACACCUAGUUUCCAUUCUUUUUUGUGUUAAUUGUCCGAUUUCUUAGCAUGUGCGUAACUCACGCAGCGUGACUUAAGUCACACAUGUGUAAAAACUAAGUCAUGUAUUUUUUACACUUGCGCUAAUUAACUAACGCAAGGGUAUUUUCGGCAACACUGCAGGGCGCGAGUGUUUUGUGUUGGGUGAAGAGCAGAAUUCUAAAGUCAUAUAUAUAUAUUAUGGUUUUAAAAGGGUAAUUGCUAAAUCAGAUUCAUAGGAAGCAACUAAGUUAAUAUUGAAAGGGCAUGGUAAAGGGCACCCUUGUUCUCAUAUCAUUUCUCAUAUUUCUAAUUUUCUUGUCUAAUUCAUGAGUUACAAGUUUCAACGUGUCUAACGUGAAGCCAACAAAGUCGUGAAUGCUUUUGCAAGGAAUAUCCAACUUCAAAGUAUUAGCGCAGCUUUAACUUGAUGAACAAACUUAGAGUUUUCUAGGGUUUUAAUUUGAUUUUGUUGAAAUAGAGAGAGAAUGAGAAGAAUGGGUGAAUGAGGAGACAAGAAGUAUUAAAGUUGUGAUUUCAUUUAUAUGUAAAAAUACACAUGAAAGUAGCUUAUAUACAUGGUUUUUUGCUAGGUUACUUGAAGUACAAGUCAUAUAACAAACCCUAAAUACCUUAAGCUAAAAUCUAGUAAAUUUGUAACAAACUAUUAACAAACUAAACUAACUAGAUUUCUAAUGUGAUUAACCAAACAAGCUUGAUUAGAUCACUAACAAACUUGAAUUAUCAACUAACACAAAGUUGCGAUAAUAUAAAAAUAAUAUCAGAACUAGUCUCUCUUCAAAUGAAUGAUGCAUCACAACUUAUCUUUCUCCUUUGAUGGAAAAAUUUGUUCUAAUACCAAUUAUUGAAGGAAAAAAAUCAAUAAAAAAUCUUUAAACAAGCGGGAACACAACCACAAAAUAAGUAAAAGAGAUAAAAACAAAUCACAAGCCUAUUUUUCGAUACUUCACAGUUCACACCUUCAUUCAUAAUAUCUUAACAAAAUAUUUGUUACAAAAAUAUGCAUAGUUUUACUAGGAAUUGCAAACCCUCUUGUACAAUUAUAAUUUUUGCACAGAAAUAUUGCAAACUAAUCUUUCUCAAUUACAAUUUUUGUAAGAAAAACUACAAACUCUUUCAUGACACACAACUACCCAACCUCUUUUUUUUUUUUUUUUUUUUUCAUUACUCGAUGUGCGAUGUGAAAGAAUAUCAAUUUUAGAGAACAAAUGGCUAUAAUUUAUAGGUGGCCUUUAUGAUUUUUGGCACAAAUUUUCAUACUGUGAAAUGUGAAUAGAUGCAUGUGCAGAGAUGGAGUUCAUAAUUUAAAUCUUACGUUAAAAAUAAAACAAGUUUUUAAUGUUAUAGUUUAAAAAUAAAAAAUUGUUUCUUAUAUACAAUAUUUUUAUGAAUAUUUACAUAGUUCUUAAAAAAAUUAAUAAUGAAUGGUAUAUUCGUGUCCUGUAUGACACAAUGAAACAUAUGCACAUGAUUAAAUUAUACAUUAAGCCUAAUCAUAUGAUCUGAAAAGAUUUUCUCUACAUUUCGUCGAGCUAGCAAGGUAGAUAGAUGUCAACUAAUAAGUUGAUGAAAUCGGCUAAAAAAGAUUCCCAGUUGAAGUUUAUUAUUUUUUUGGUGCAACCCAGUUGAAGAUUUUAUUAACUUUGAUGAUGGCUCUGAACUACCAAGUUUUCUAGAACUUGAACAAGUCCUUAAUUUUAGUUGAAUUGCAAUACUAUGUCUAUAUGUAUAGUAUACCGUUUCUGGUUUCAUAGUCUGUUAAUUUUAAGGAAUUUUUUCAAGUGGCUCAAAAAAAACAUAUACAGUACAUUCUUUAGUUUUAUUUACAUCGUUUUCAAUCUCUUUCGCUUUUUUAAAUAUUUACGCAGAAAACAUUUUUUUUUUUUUUUCAAUCAGAAAGAGGCAAAAUUAAGAUUUGCAUUGGUUUUAGUCAUCACCUACUACAUUAAAUUACUAUUUGUGGAAAAUAUUGUUUAUAGCGUGAAACUGUGCUCUGACUGGCUCACAUGCAAACGGACAGUGGCAAUAUUGUUUAAGGAAGUAUUAAUCUUUUUUUUUUUUUUUUUUUUGACAGAAACCAUAUAGUAUUAAUCUAUUAUUACUACUAUAUAUGCAUAAAAAAGGACCAAUUAACCGACAUGCUUUGAGUUAUUUUGUGUUUUUUUUUUUUAUUGUUUCUGAAAAAAUCAACCAACAUGCUUCUUUUUUUGCGCUAACUAAAACUAAUUUAUUUAUGCUACUAAUCAAUUUAUUAAGACUAAAACUUGAGUACAAGUUAGUCUUUUUUUUUGUAGUUGGUGACCUACAAGUGGUACUCUUGUACUCAUUAUACUCAAAGUCAAGGGUACAUGCGUAUGUGUUAUGCUGAAUUCGAAAAUUCAUAGUCAAGACCCAGCAAUAUCAAGAUAUAUACACACAUGUCCUAAAGUGCAUUCUGGAGAAUAAGAACUACAAGUCUAAAGUUUUUCUUUUUGUUAGUAAAGUUAUUUUAGUCCAAGUUUAGACUAUACAACGCUGACUAUGAAAUAUGAAAGGAAAAAAAAACCUUCAAUUUUUGUCAAAAAAAUAAAUUCCAUUGUCUCUAACUAAUUAUUGAAAUUUUAAACAUGUGUUUGGUCUAACGGUAUGGUAGAAAAAAUCACGGCAAAAAUUCACGGUAACUACAAAAUCUAAAAAUUUGUAAUUUCUUUGAAAUUUGAGUUUGUAACUUCGAACGUCAAAUAAUCGUUCAUUAAGUCUCUAAAGCUCACAUGAUCAGACCAGCUUUGAUUGCAAAAUAUGACCAACUAAUUACUAAUAAACAUUUAAUUUUGUUAGCAGAUCAAUUUAUCUGUUUAAUGUUAAAAUAAAUCUGAUCCAAUUCAAUACUUUUGGACAUAGAUUGAAAUGGUUUCCCCCCCCCCCCCCCCCCCUUUUUUUUUUUUUUUUUUGUAAACUAGGUAUCCUCCGCGCGCAACUGCGGAGACUAAUCCCUCGAGCAUUGUGAGACCCAAAUGGACGGCAGACUCUCCCUAAGAGUUUUAACGCUGCUGGAGGUAUUGUAAAUAAUAUUUUGUGUUAUAUUAUUUUUAAGAGUGUAUAUUUCUAUAUAAAAAGAGUGAGUUUUGCCUUCAACCUCGAGGUAAUCGGUUUGAGACCUAGGCACUGAGAACAUGAGUUUUUUCGAUUAGCUCUUUAAAAAAUUAUUUAUAGGAGGAAUAAUUGUUUUUAUGGAAUUUGUCGUGUAAUAAAAAUCUAAAUCGUCUAGUCUACAAUUUUGUAUAGUCUUCAAUUAUGUUGUGAAUUCGGGCUUUGAAACUUCACACCAAUCCAAACUAUGAUGUGUGGAGAAAGUAUCAAUGGCAACCAACAACCAAAUUAACCAUAAGCAAUAACAAUAAUAUAUACCAAGUCUAUAAACCAAGUGCAUAGCAAAAUCACAAUCCAACCAAAUAAUAAACAAGAUAAAAGAGUAAAGAAAAAUAGACAACAACACCAAGAGAUUGUUCACCCAGUUCGGUCCAACCAUGACCUACUCUGGAGGAGAGAUUGAUCUCUUCAAUCCACUAUCAAUGAGUUCUUACAAAGAGAUACAAAUGAGUUACAAGAAAUUAGCUUCAACAAGCUCACAAAAAACAACCCUAAUUUCUACCAAUUUUCCCAAUCUCACCAAUGAACAAGACACUCAUGAUUUUUACUCUCCCAAGGUGUUUACAAUUGUUUCACAACUCUAGAAUCUAACCCCCAAAAGAGAACCAACUCUUAGCCUUUGAUUUCACUUAGGAUCUUCUCUUUUGGUUUCACAAGACUCACCCAAGUUGCUCGCAAAUGACUCUCCACUCAUGUGUUUCCCAACCCCAUGAAUCUUCUCCAAAAGGCACCAACCCUUUUCACAAGAGCCCCCUCUUUUGGUUCUCCAAGAUUCACAUCUUGAAGCUUUGAACCUCACCCAAAGACCCUCAACCUUUAGUAUCUAAAACCCUAAAAGUUUCAUCCUUUGGUUGUUAUGGGAUUCACCAAGCUUACCCAACAAAUGGAUCAGGGAGUGUUUAAAACAUGUUUCAGAUCUGUCAAAAUCGUGUCACAUUUUGCCUUCAGAACCAAACAUGCAUUCGGCAUCAGAAAUCGUGACACGGUUGCCAAAUCGUGUCAUGAUUCUUCACUUUCAUAAAGACUUAAUUUUGAGUCAUAUAUAUACCAACAAAUUCAAAUUAUAUAAAUGGACGGUAUAUUCUUUAGUAAAAGUAUUAUUUCACAAUUUAAUACGUAUUAUUAAAAGAAAUUAGAAACAAUUAUCAAAAAAUUAUGAUAGAUAAUAUAUUAAACUCGUCUAGUGUGUGUGUAUUUUUGAAGGAUAGUGUGUGUGUGUAUUAACAUCAUUCUCUAAUUAUUUUUGUAGGGAAACAAUGUUGGUUAAAUUGAUGUGUACUUUUUUUUGUAAAAAAUAAUCGACGUAUUUUUAAAUGAGAUUUACAUGUAGAGAGAGACAGCGGUAGACAUAGUAGUAGAACAAUUAAAAUUUAAAAGACCACUUUACAAAUUGCACCAAGUGGUCCUCUAAAAAAGAUCACCGACAGUUGCUUCACUUUACCUUCAUAUAUUUUAGAGCAAUGAUAUUUGAACAAUUAUUUAGUACAACAUUUUUUGACAAUCUUCUUUUUCUCUCUUUUUAUUGGUCAAAAAUAAUGAAGAGAAAAAAGAAGAGAUAGAGUAAAAAUAUAAUAUGAAUAUGAGAAAAAAAAUUGUCUAAAAAUUAUCACAAAAUGGUUGUACAAAUAUUAUUUCUCCAUAUUUUAGACACAGGCUAAUCAUUAAUUAAUUUGUGUAAAAAAAAACAAUAAUAUUAUUUUGACAACAUUAUUCAACACCUUAUCUUUCUUUCAAAAAACAUUAUUCAACACCUUAUGUUCAUAUUAUCAUUUGAUUUUCUUAAUUAUGUUUUACAUCAGUCACAUCAAGUGACAUUUUACACGCUUAUCAAUUUUUUUUGUCAAGUAGCCUAGUGUUUAGAACUCAUAUAAUUUAAUUGUGAAGAAAUGAAGUGUCAGAGAUUCGAACUCCAACCCCUGCAUAUAAUAUGCAAUAUCCCUACCAACUGAACUAAGCUCACGAAGAUCGCGGUUAUCAAUUUUUGUAGUUCAAAUAACAUCACUAAAAAAAGCUACGAGGCAGACGCACAAAUUUUCAUUGAGCAGUUGUGUUAAUUAAUUUUAUAACGCAAGGAAAAUGGUGAAGUUUUUGUGAAUAGAGAAAUGAUAUAUAUACAAUCAUUUUCAAACAACUUUUGUAAUAACUUUAUCUCUCAUUUUUAUAUUUUAUUUUUAUUUUUUUCUCUAUUAUUUUGGUUUUCGUUUAUGAUUUUUUGUAAGAAAAUGAUUGUCUAUGUAGUUAUCAAUCACAUUGAUGUUCAAAUAACAUUGCUUUUGUGAAUAAUGCAAAAUAGUUUCUCGGAACAAUCAAUUAUUCAAUUGAUAUUUACGAAAUUAGUUUUUGUAGGGUGUCCCUAUAAAUCACAUAUACUUUAAAACAGUCAUAUGUAUUCACGAUUCGAGAUCUUAUAAAAAAACCAUUCCAGAUCAUGUAUGAAAAUGAAAUAUAUAUUUUUUUUGACUGGUGUAUGAAAAUGAAAUAUUUUCAAAAAUAAAAUAUACUCUCUGCCCAUAUAAUGUCAGCGUAGGUGUCGGUGUUUUUCUACCGACUAUAAGAAAAACUGUAAAAUAAAUAAAACAAUAUAGUAAUUUAAAUUAGUGAUUGUAAAUUAUUGUCUUAAAUGUAUAGUUCAAUAUAAUAGAUUAAAAAUGAUGAAAAAAAUAUUAAUUUAAGAGUAGAAUUGAAAUAACAUAUAUGUUUUCGAUAGUUUAACUAAAUUGAUAAAGACAUUGCAUAAUAAUAUACAAGUGUUUUGAAAUUCCAUUUAUUCAUUACAUGUGAAUUUUUAGAUAUUAAACUAUUUGGAAAAUAAAAUAAAAUAUCAAAUAAUUAAGGUUUAAAUAUGUAAGUAGUCCCUGUAAUUUCGCGUAUUUUUGUUUUCGUUCCUGUAAGUUAUUUUGUUCUAAAACAAACUCUGUAUUUUGCUAACCUUUUGGAAAAGGUCCUUGCCGUCAGCUUCCGUCAACAAAAACGCCAUGGUGGCUAACGGAGCACACGUGGCAGUUCAUGAGUUGGCAAAGUUGAUGAGAUGGAAUGAGAGAUGAUAAGUUGUUAAAAUACAGGGACUAAAAUCAAAAACGUAAAUUGACACAGGGAUGAAAUUAAAAAAACGUUUAAUCUUCUUUUUCCUCUCAAAUUUCAGUCUUCUUCUUCCUCUCAAACUUUCCCCAAUCUAUCCCAUACCUUGCGCCCUUGAACCAAAACUCAUAUCCUUCAACAAUUUAUUCUAAUUCCAUUACUCAAUCAUAUUGUGUGUUUUGAUUGUAAUGUUAAGUUGAAACAUUGUAUGCUACUUAAGUUUGAUUAAUUUAGUGAUGGUUGUUGCGAUUGAUUGCAAAUUCAUUCAUAAAGUUUGUAGAUAAUAAAGGCAAGAAUACAUCUUUUUCAUCCCUCUUUUUUUUCCACAAUUCCCUCUUAUUCUUCCAGAUUGCUACAAUUACCAUACAUAAAUAGUCAGAUCCCCUUUCAUCUUUUCUCACUCACAUUCAAAUUCAAACUCUAAUUUCUCAAAUUUUUGCUUUUGAAUUGUGUAAUUUUGUGUUUUUAUGUAAUUGGUGUAGAGAGUUUAUGUUGUUUUAAUGUGUUGAUUAAGAGUGGGUCUUGUUGUUGUUGAUUGAUGAUUAUUAGUUUUGUUUAAAAAAAUAUAUAUGUUUGUUGUUUUCUUUCUUUUCCUGGGUUUGGUGUUGAUGAUUUAUGAAUAUGGUGAUGAAGAUGAAGAAGACAAUGAAGGAAGAAGAAGAAUAAGAUCUUGAUUUUAAAUUUGAAAUUUUGAUUUUACGUUUUUUAUUUUAGUCCCUGUGGUAAUUUACGCUUUUGAUUUUAGUCCCUGACUUUACACAACUAAUCAUCUCUCAUGCCAUCUCAUCAAAUGUGCCAAGUCAUGACCUGCCACCUGUGCUCCGUUAGCCACAAUGGCGUUUUUGUUGACAGAAGCUGAUGGUAAGGACCAUUUUCAAAAGGUCAAAAAGAUACAAGGUUUAUUUUAUAUAAAAAAAAAAACUUACAAGGACGAAAACAAAAAAUACGCGAACUUAGAGGAACCUUUUACAUAUUUAAGCCAAUAACUAAUAGCACUUAUUUUGGUACAUUUCUCUUUUGCAAAUGUGAAACUUAAUAUUGGAUGGGGUCAAUAAUUUUGAGAAUGAAUAAACCCAUUAUUUAGUCUUUUAAUUUUUUUUUUCCAUCCAUCAGGUUUCUAAACUAUUUACAAACACUAAAUGUCCUUAAGACAUAGCUCAAGUAACAAUAUUGAUAUUGAGAAGUUGGAUAUUUUCAUCCGAGUUUGAACUCGAAUUCUUGCAAUUACGAGUGUGAAUUUCAGGUAAUUUAUAUCAAUUUAUCUGUAAACAAAAGGAGAUAUAUACGCGUAACAAAUAGGUCUAAUGCAAAUUAACAACUUAUUUUUAGUUUAUAAAAUAUAUGAAAUUUAAUCCUUUAGUCCCUAGUAUAUUUUAACAAUGGGCACUAAAGCAACAUAUAUUUCAUAUAUUUUAAAUACUACUACAUCUUUCCUUAUGUAUAAGCUCAUUUGACAUUUUCACAUAUAUUAAAAAAGUUAGUAGUGUCUUGACAAAAAAGAAGCUCCUUAGAGUUUCCUUAUGUAUAUUUUUUUAAACCGAAAAAAUUGUGUACAAAAAAUGACUAUUAUUACUAAAAAAAAUCUUUUGCAUAUAGAUGUGUUCAACAUUUAUUUUGCAAUUCUCAAGACAAAUCAGUGGUACAUCUUAAUAAGUGAUAUAUUUGUUAGGAAAAAAAAUUACUAUAUGUAUCUAGUUAUUUGCAAGACUAAUGAUUCUUAGCAAAUAUGCUUAUAUUGAGAGAACUUUUUUCUAAAGAGAGCUUAUAAUUAGAGACUAAGAUUUUGCCAAAAAAUAAAGAAAAAUUAGAGAAUAAGGUUUAUACUAUACUUUAGAAACUAAUUUGAUGAGAUACGACUAAAUCGAAGAUAUAUUUUUUUAGAAUAGUGUUAGAACCUUAGAAAUUAUAAUCAAUAGAAAUAGAAAUGUUCCUUACAGAUCCAUAAUAGUGACAAUCUUGUCUUUUCUUUUGAGGAAAUAAUAAUAAAGGUGGUGCCAACAUUUCAACAAACCUAGCUAUUUUAAUUAUUCUGUUCUCACAGCCUGCACCUUAGAUCAAAUCCAAAUUGGGUCAUCACCGUUCCAAAAUGCUUAGGGACGUUACUCUAAAUGUCAAUAUGAAUGAGUAAUUCAAAUAGUUAACAUAGCCCGCCAGCCUUAUAUAAUAAUAUCAAUAUAUGUCGACUAAUUAUCGAGAUGCUAAAUUGGAGUACACUUCACAAACAAAAAUCUUUCAUAAGGCGUUUUUUCUCUUAAUACAUUUUUUCUUUUCUUAUGCUAGUAACAUUUACUCUGUAUUGGCCUUCCUAAGAAGAAGUUGGAUAGUAGCAAUGUGUUCGUGAGACUGCUGAUAUCUUAAAAGAAUGUUCUCAUAGAUUCCACUUUUUUAGUAAGCUUUUAUGUGUAUGAGUUUGCAAAUUUAACCCUUUUUAAUUCGGAUAGAUUUAUAAGUCACACCUUCAAGUACAAUCGACAAAAUUUCAGUAAUAAUUACGGUUUAGGGUUUAUGGGUCUAGAUCUACUAAAAAUGAGUGGGUGUAUAAAUUAGUAUAUCCUAGAGUUUAUUAUCUUACGUUCGAUCUUCUUUGCAGAAACUCGUGCAUGUUCGUGAUAUAUAUUUUCGCGAGAAGUACAUUUCCCUAAAACAAAAUCAACCACUGACAUAAACACGUCAAAUGUAAGCCGGUAAAUCCAAGCUUUACUAACACGAGUUAUAUUAUAUCAUUGGCAUCAGCUACUUAAGAACUACUGUAGAAAAUUUACAGCAAGUCAUCGAGGCUUAAUAAAAUGUGUUGAUAUAGUUACAAAGAUAAAUUAAAUAGCAGAGCAUACAUGAAGAGAACAAAUGUAGAGCAACCCCUUAAACAAACCCUCUCAGUAAGGUAUCUUCACAUUACUCUAAGUUCAUAAAAGAUGACUUUAAAAACGAUUAUUUCAAAAUGCAAGUAUUCUCCGACCCCUUUUUCCCGGAUCUAGAUCUAAUAGUGUAAGGAUAUAUAUAAAUCAUUGUCACAUUUUACAACUCAAGAGUUUACCUCAACUCGUUUUGUUUAGGUAAAUUCGACUCGAGAACUCGUAUGACUUUACCUAAAAUUAAAAUUAUAUAAAAUUUAUUAUAUAUGCAUGACAUAUGUAAGUUAAUAUAAUAUUGUAAAUAGGUCAAUAGUGCAAAAUAUGACUUAAUUACAAAGACAAAUUAUACCAUAAUAAAAUGUUAUGCUCAACUUAGCUUCAAAAUACAAAAAUUAACGCACAAAAUCAUAAGUCUCUAAGUUUAAGCCAUCCAUAAAACCAUCCAAAAAAAGAAAGUUUCACAAGUUCCUAAAGUUAUUAAUAAAACUAUCUAAAAAAUAAAGUAGUUAAUUUCUUCAAAACGUCAACAAACACCACCACAACAACCCUAACCAGUGUCACAAUCACCGGCGUUGAAAUAUGAAUUUCCACCGUCUGAAUCACAACCCUAAAUGGUAUGUGCUCCCCUGUUCAUGGUUUGAGAACUUAGAAAAGAAAAAGGGCAAUCCGGUGCACUAAAGCUCCCACAUACGCAGGGUCCGGGAAGGGGUCCCACCAUUUUUUGUGUAUUGUACGCAACCUUACCCUGUUUUUGAUCACAAAAGAAAAAGAAACGUUUCAUUUUAGGAACAACUUGUCACUGUAAAGGUAACUAUUAAUUAAACGUUUCAGUCUUUGGGGUUGUAGAAAAGGAAUUGGAUUUUGAAAAAAAUGGGCACAUAAAAAGGGCCAAUUUUUAGAUGUAAACUCGUAAAACUCAGUAAACUCGGUCGAGUUUACACGAGUUUACCUAGUGUUAACUCGGUCAAACUCGUUAAACCUUCCAAUUUUACCAGAAACCGAGUUUACCUCCGAAUUAACAUGAUUUUGGCACCUACGUAAACUCGAAGAGUUAACACUCAAUUUGCGGAACAUUGCAUAUAUAUUUAAAGAUAUAUGUAUAAUUAUAGAGAAAGUAGAGAAGGGAUAUACCAUUUUAUGUAGGGUUAUUAUGUAUCAAAUCAUAAAGAGUCGAGAGUUGUAUUAUACCAUAAUAUUCUUCCGUAAACUGGUAGUCAUGAUCAUGACGUAUAUUAUUCAAGUAUAUGCAAAAACAUGUCUGUAUCUAGUCUAAAUUUUUGACCAAAUGCAUGUAUUUGCUUAUAUUUUGUUACUACUUACUACUCGCCAAGUAAUGCUCAAUAUCUAAUAUAUAUAUUUCAAGACCAUCAAAGAUAACUCAGUUGAACAAUACAUAAUAUAUGCAAGGUUCGGGGUAUAUUACAUUUUCAAUUAUUCUAAUAAUAAAUUUAAAUGACACUUAAAUUAUACAACUAUUAAAUAGAUCUUAGUACCGUAAAAUUUAUAUUCGAGACUUGCUAGGGAGAACCAUCAACCUCAACAAAAAUUUCUACUUGAAUCUAACGCAAACAAAAGGUCCAACCAUCUAUGAAUCUCCGUUGAUAUCACAAAUGAUGUUUGAUACAAGAGAGACAUAUUAGAACAUAAUCUAUGUACAAUCUACAUUAAAAUAAAAAACAAGUCUACAGUCAUAUAAAUAACACAAUUUCAAAAUCUCAAAAUUAGGUAUGAAAACAAAAUGAUUAGAAAAAUAAAUGAUUCAAUCAUUCCGAGAUUUGUGCAAAAAAAAAAAAAAAAACAUUUUGAAAAUACAAUGUUAGAAACUUAUGAUCAAUAUAUAUUUUUCCUUACACAUCAAAAAUAAUUAAGCUAUAUUCUUGUCUUUUCAUUUUGGGCAAACUAAAAUUAAAAUCAAGGUAGUGUCAAUGUUUCUAUAGUCCUAGCUAUUUGAUUUUCUUCUAAGCUAACAAGAGUCUUCCAAAAUCAAAUUCGCGCUCAAAAUUAAAGCAACUUGGGUGGUAACCAUUCCAAAAUACUUAGGGCCACAUUGCUCUAAAAGUCAAUAAGAAUAAGUAAUAAUUCAAAGAUAGCCAACCUUAUAGUAUAUUUUAAUAUGAAUGUAUGCAUGUUUCCUAGAAGGUGAGUAAGCUAACUAAUCAAGAUACUUUGUUGGAGUUAAAUAUGGUAAAGAAUCCAACUAUAAAAUGGGGACUUGCCCCAGCAUUCUUUCACAAACCAAAACCAACUUCUAAGAAAAAAAUGAGGUCCCUAAUGGCCUCUGCUUCUCUCACUCUUGCAUUAGCCAUCCUCUUUUUGAGUUUCCCAUCUGAAAUUUCAGCAAACAAAUACGCAUAUUCCUCUCCACCACCACCACAUUACUCAUCUCCUCCACCUCCACCGGUUCACACUUACCCUAAACCAGUCUACCACUCUCCACCACCACCAGUUCACACCUACCCUAAACCAGUUUACCACUCUCCACCACCACCAGUUCACAAGUACCCUCACCCUAAACCAGUAUACCACUCUCCACCACCCCCAGUUCACAAGUACCCUCAUCCACACCCAGUCUACCAUUCUCCACCACCCCCAGUUCACAAGUACCCCCAUCCUCACCCAGUGUACCACUCUCCCCCACCACCACCACCAAAGAAGUCCUACAAAUACCCAUCUCCCCCACCACCACCAGUUCACACCUACCCUAAACCAGUCUACCACUCUCCUCCACCCCCAGUUCAUCACACCUACCCUAAACCAGUCUACCACUCUCCUCCACCCCCAGUUCACACCUACCCUCACCCUAAACCAGUCUACCACUCUCCACCACCCCCAGUUCACACUUACCCUAAACCAGUCUACCACUCCCCACCACCACCAGUUCACACCUACGUCCCUCACCCUAAGCCAGUCUACCACUCUCCACCACCACCAGUUCACACCUAUCCCCCACAUGUUCCCCACCCAGUUUACCAUUCUCCUCCUCCUCCAGUUCAUUCCCCACCUCCACCACACUAUUACUACAAAUCACCUCCUCCACCUUACCACAACUAGAUAGCCCAUAAUUGGCAUCACACCAUAUGGUAA
rnacentral:lncRNA from 1 species